UAUCGGUGAAGAUGCCGAUUACCCGCGAUGGGACGAAAAGACCCCGUGAACCUUUACUAUAGCUUAGCAUUGAAUUUGGGCACGCGAUGUGUAGGAUAGGUCGGAGGCAUUGAAUCGGGCACGCCAGUGUUCGUGGAGCCGCUGUUGAAAUACGACCCUUCGUUUGUUUGAGUUCUAACUUCAGGAAAGAAGGACAUUGCUUGGUGGGUAGUUUGACUGGGGUGGUCGCCUCCAAAAGCGUAACGGAGGCUUCUAAAGGUACCCUCAGGCCGAUCGGUAACCGGCCCAAGAGUGUAA
rnacentral:rRNA from 1 species